UUCACUCUCAAUAUCUCUGGACCAGUCAGAAGGAGAUGCAAAGAGGCACUGGCCGCUGGCAUGUGCUUCUCAGAUGAGUUUGGACACAAUUUACACUCUGCCUUUGCAGCUUGUUGAUCUGCUAUAAGAAUUGUUCAGCACUACCUGAGUCGCUCCUAAGCCAGUAUCCCACUUCCCAAUACCCUGACUCAACAUCUUCUCAGUGCUCUCCAGAAAAAUCAUCAAUUGUAUCCAGAAGAAGCAAAAAGCUUUAAUCCGAAAGCAUGACUGCCUGAUAAGCCGGCACUAGUUCAGUACCUGUUUAUGGCCAGGGAUCAGAUUCUUCUCUCAUGGAAAAACUUACUAGAAAUACAGUUAAGAAUACAAAGGAGAUUCUAAAGGAAAUUUUCCCUUUCUUAUCAUCAAUUACUGCUGCAGUUUUCUCAAUAUACAGGUUCUAAUUUAAAGCAAAAUGCAUUUGCAUUGCUUAACAAUCCCUUAAAGAGAUGGGAGCCCUCCAGGACAAACAUACCAUUUCCCUCCCUUUAUUCUACCUACAUUAGCUGGUCAGCUAGGGGAAUUCAUCUGACCAAAAUGCAGCCUUCCUCUUCACCCCCGGGGUACAGUAUGCAACCACCCUGCUGGCCCAACUGUUCUCUUGUGUAGACAUCAGUGGGAAACAGCCUGGUACAUUCACAUUUGCAAAACAGUGAGAGUGAAAAGCGACUAGAAUGGGAUACAUACAA